GGUUUCUUUACAAGAACAGCUUCUUUCUGAAAUUCUUAAGGAGAAAAAGGUUAAAUUAUGGAAUGUGUAUAAUGGAAUGGACAUGAUAAGAAGCAAGCUACGGUUCAAAAGGGUGUUGAUUGUUAUGGAUGAUUUGGAUCAACUAAACCAAUUGCAAAAACUAGCUGGAAAAAUUGAUUGGUUUGGUUCAGGGAGUAGAAUUCUUGCUACUACUAGAGAUGAG
rnacentral:misc_RNA from 1 species